rnacentral:rRNA from 1 species
UAAGCAGGUAGUGAAAUUGUGUGGCUCAACCAUACACCCAUUAUCUGAACUGCUCAGCUUGAGCAUGGAAGAGGUAGCUGGAAUUUCUAGUGUAGGAGUGAAAUCCGUAGAUAUUAGAAGGAACACCGAUGGCGUAGGCAGGCUACUGGUCCAUUGCUGACACUAAGGCACGAAAGCGUGGGAGCGAACGGGAUUAGAUACCCGGUAGUCCACGCCGUAAACGAUGGAUGCUA